rnacentral:rRNA from 1 species
CAGCAGCCGCGGUAAGACAGAGGAUGCAAGCGUUAUCCGGAAUGAUUGGGCGUAAAGCGUCUGUAGGUGGCUUUUCAAGUCCGCCGUCAAAUCCCAGGGCUCAACCCUGGACAGGCGGUGGAAACUACCAAGCUGGAGUACGGUAGGGGCAGAGGGAAUUUCCGGUGUAGCGGUGAAAUGCGUAGAUAUAUGGAGGAACACCGGUGGCGAAAGCGGCUCUCUGGCUUGUAACUGACGCUGAGGCUCGAAAGCGUGGGGAGCAAACAGGAUUAGAUACCCCCGUAGUCCCUGUCUCUUAUAC